rnacentral:misc_RNA from 1 species
GUGGCAGGUGAGUCAUCGAAUCUUUGAACGCAUAUUGCGCCCCUUGGUAUUCCGAGGGGCAUGCCUUUUCGAGCGUCAUUUACAACCGUCAAGCUCUGCUUGGUAUUGGGCCUCUGCCUCCGCGUGGGCGGGCCUCAAAGUCAUCAGCGGCUGAGAGAACGGUAUUCCGGCGUAGUAGAAAUUAACUCGCUGGGGGCGGAUCUCAGGCAGCUGUCAAACACGCGCAUCUGCGCACAUCCCAGGUUGACCUCGGAUAAGGUAGGGAUACCCGCUGAACUUAAGCAUAUCAAUAAGCGGAGG